rnacentral:rRNA from 1 species
AUGGCCGAAUGCUUCAAUAGGGUGCUCAAAGGUGCACGUGGAUUACCCGUGACGGCAAUAGUUCAAUACACAUUUGACAAGAUGAAUGUGUACUUUGUAAAGUACUCGAUGGAAACAGAUGCACAGAUAGCGGGUGAGAACCCGCACAAGUACAAGUACAAGUUCCCACCCAAAGUUGAUGAAUGGUUGGUAUUUCAAUCACGGAAGGCGGACUCAGAAGAAGCUAUAUUAUAUGACAACGAAGAGUGGAAGUACGAAGUGAAAGAGCCAGGAGAAACCACAAACGAUGGCCGGCAACAUGGAGGUCGGGCUUUCAAGGUGUCGUUAACACAAUGUGAUUGCACUUGCGGGAGGCCAUUGUUGCUUCAUCUCCCAUGCUCACACUUGUAUACCGCCGGUCGCGUUAGGAAUGUGGACAUCAAUCACCCACGCACCAUGAGGGAGUCGGAGUUCUCAAUCAUGACGGUCAAGAAAACAUGGGCUCCCCGCUUUCACCCGUACUUUGACCAAUCACAAUGGCCGGAGUAUCAUGAAGUUCAACUAUGGCCGGAUCCG